rnacentral:rRNA from 1 species
CACUUGGAGGAUGUAUAGCGAAAGCUAGUUGCAUUAAAUUCGAUUAAUUCGAAGUUAUUGCAGCAUCGACUAUGUCGAAUAAAGUUCUAGGUAGAGUUAUGAUAAUGACAUUUUCUAUCUAUGUGUCUUGACCAAAUCACGUGCCAGCAGUCGCGGUAAUACGUGGAAGACUAGUGUUAUUCAUCUUUAAUAGGUUUAAAGGGUACUUAGACGGUAUUUUUAGCCCAAAUAAAAAACAAAGGGUACUAAUUAUACUAGAGUUUAAUGAGUGGGGGGCGCGUACGAAUGAGUGUAGAGAUGAAAUUCUGUCAUACCAUUAGGACAGGCGACGGCGAAAGCAACCUUUAGUUAAAAACUGACGUUAAAGGACGAAGGCUUUGUAACACCAACAGGAUUAGAUACCCAAGUAGUCUAAGCAGACAAUUAUGAAUGCCAUAGAUAAGAAUUCCAGAGAUAAGGAAGAAAACAUGUUCUUUAAGAAUGCCUUUUUGUAAUGGUUUAUUAUAAAAAAAUAAACUAUCAAUAAGAAUGGAAAAGAAUGGAUUGAAAUCUUAUCAAUCUAUAAAUAUUAUUAUUUUAAUAGAUUAUAUUUUCUUUACACAUUGACUCAACAAUGUUAACCAAAUAAAUAAAGAAAGGAUAUAUUUUUUGUCUAUAAAUGAAAGUGUAAGCAUUCCACCCUCAAGAGUAAAGUGGCAACGCACAAACUGAAAUCAUUAGACCGUUUCUGAAACCAGUAGUGAAGUAUGUUGUUUAAUUUGAUGGUCCGCAAAAAAACCUUACCACCAAUUUUGUAUAUUAUUAGCUUAAUACAAGAGUUGCACGGCUGUCUUCAGUUAAUGUCGUGAGAUUUUGGUUAGUUCCAUAAAAUAACCGUAAACCCUUACUUUAUUUAUAUUAUAAAGUAGUUCACCGCUAUAUUGGAUAUGAUAAGAGGGACUAAGACAAGUCAUCAUGGCCUGAAUAUUG